rnacentral:rRNA from 1 species
AGAGUUUGAUCCUGGCUCAGGAUGAACGCUAGCGGCAGGCUUAACACAUGCAAGUCGAGGGGCAGCGGGGAGUAGCAAUACUCUGCCGGCGACCGGCGGAAGGGUGCGUAACACGUGAGCAACAUGCCCGUAUCCGGGGGAUAAGCGUUGGAAACGACGUCUAACAUCCCAUAACAACGACCGGGACAUCCCGGAUGUUUGAAAACUGAGGUGGAUACGGAUUGGCUCGCGUCCCAUUAGCUAGUUGGAGUGGUAACGGCACACCAAGGCGACGAUGGGUAGGGGUUCUGAGAGGAAGGUCCCCCACAUUGGAACUGAGACACGGUCCAAACUCCUACGGGAGGCAGCAGUGAGGAAUAUUGGUCAAUGGACGGAAGUCUGAACCAGCCAUGCCGCGUGCGGGAAUAAGGCCCUAUGGGUCGUAAACCGCUUUUGACGGGGAGCAAUAAGGCGUACGUGUACGCCGAUGAGAGUACUCGUCGAAUAAGCAUCGGCUAACUCCGUGCCAGCAGCCGCGGUAAUACGGAGGAUGCAAGCGUUAUCCGGAUUUAUUGGGUUUAAAGAGUGCGUAGGCUGUGCUUCAAGUCAGGGGUGAAAUGCCCGGGCCUAACCCGGGAACUGCCUUUGAUACUGGAGCGCUGGAAUACGGAUGCCGUGGGAGGAAUGAGUAGUGUAGCGGUGAAAUGCAUAGAUAUUACUCAGAACACCGAUUGCGAAGGCAUCUCACGAAUCCGUCAUUGACGCUGAGGCACGAAAGCGUGGGGAUCAAACAGGAUUAGAUACCCUGGUAGUCCACGCAGUAAACGAUGAUGACUAACCGUCGGCGAUAGACAGUCGGUGGCCAAGCGAAAGCGAUAAGUCAUCCACCUGGGGAGUACGUUCGCAAGAAUGAAACUCAAAGGAAUUGACGG